rnacentral:rRNA from 1 species
UUAGAUACCCUAGUAUUUAUAAAGUUUUGAAAUUAGUAUUAAUAGAAAUUUAAUAAUUUUGGCGGUUAAUUAAUAUUUAGAGGAGCUUGUGUUUGAUAGAAUUUGCUCUUUAUAUUUUGAAAAUAAUUUAAUUUAUUCAUCUCCGUUAUUAAUUUUUGAAGGAGGAGGUUUUGUAAGAUUUAUGUUUAAAAUUUCAGGUCAAGAUGUAGUUUUAUUUUAAAGAUAUUUAGCUACAUUUAUGUAAUUAGUGGAUUAUAGAGUUUAUCUAUUAAAUUAGUAUAAGAAAUUGAAUUUAGCUGUAAUAGUAAUUAGAAUGUUAUUAUGAAUAUAUUUAAUUAAUGUACAUAUUGCCCGUCACUUCUGUUUAAGAUGGAAUAAGUCGUAACAAAGUA